UAAGCCAUCACAUAAGAAGUUCAACUGCUCCAAGGCUACUAGAGGUGAGUGAGCCUGGCCACGUGAAGAGGCUGCGCCGGCCCCUGGUCAGCAGUCUCCAGUUCGUUCCAAGCCCAGGUACCUGAUAGGUGAGCUCCAAGCCAGAUUUUUGUUCUAUCAACUAACACUAGAAGUCGCAAUAGACUACAAGCAGAAACAGACUUCAGGUAUCUUCUAUUGAACCAGAAAUUAGACCUAUUUGAUGGCUUGGCUGACCUGGACCUCACAGGACGCUUUUUCCCGUCAUCACUGCUCUCCUCUCCGUCUGUGUAGUAAUCCUCCUCACCAUCUUUGGCAGUUUCGAGAAUUCUACGAGGCAUGGGCAAGUGUAUUUUAUAUUCUAUUAUAUUAUCACACGAUUUUUCUGAUUUUGAAGAAGUGGUCAAU